rnacentral:rRNA from 1 species
CGAUGAAGGACGCGGUAAUCUGCGAUAAGCCUCGGGGAGUUGGUAAACGAGCUGUGAUCCGAGGGUGUCCGAAUGGGGAAACCUCGCUGCGUGUUGUGCGUAGUGACCACAGGGUGAAUGUAUAGCCUUGUUGGGGGUGACGUGGGGAAGUGAAACAUCUCAGUACCCAUAGGAAGAGAAAAUAAUAAUGAUUCUGUUAGUAGUGGCGAGCGAACGCGGAAGAGCCUAAACCGUGUGUGUGUCAAGCGUGCUGGUUUUGCAUGCGCGGUGUUGUGGGGCCAAUCGUCUCAGUUCAGCAUAGCUGGGGCAUGGAUGCAGUGUGGUAGGUGAACAGGUUGGGAAGCCUGACCGGAGUGGGUGAGAGUCCCGUAGCUGAAACUGUGCUGGUCUGUGUGUGUUGGUGCCCGAGUAGCACGGUACUCGUGGAAUGUCGUGUGAAUCUGCCAGGACCACCUGGUAAGGCUAAAUACUCUUGGUGACCGAUAGCGGAUAGUACCGUGAGGGAAUGGUGAAAAGUACCCCGGGAGGGGAGUGAAAGAGUACCUGAAACCGUGUGCCUACAAUCCGUCAGAGCCCUGUGGGGUGAUGGCGUGCCUUUUGAAGAAUGAGCCUGCGAGUUAGUGGCAUGUGGCGAGGUUAACCCGUGUGGGGAAGCCGCAGCGAAAGCGAGUCCGAAUAGGGCGGUCAGUCGUGUGUCCUAGACCCGAAGCGGAGUGAUCUAGCCAUGGACAGGGUGAAGCGCCGGUAAGACGGCGUGGAGGCCCGAACCCACCUAGGUUGAAAACUGGGGGGAUGAUCUGUGGUUAGGGGUGAAAGGCCAAUCAAACUCUGUGAUAGCUGGUUCUCCCCGAAAUGCAUUUAGGUGCAGCGUCACGUGGUGCUUUGCGGAGGUAGAGCGACUGGAUGACUGAUGGGCCCGCGAGGGUUACUGACGUCAGCUAAACUCCGAAUGCCGUGAAGUCAGCGUGGCAGUGAGACUGCGGGGGAUAAGCUUCGUAGUCGAGAGGGAAACAGCCCAGACCAUCAACUAAGGUCCCUAAGCGUGUGCUCAGUGGAAAAGGAUGUGGAGUUGCAGUGACAACCAGGAGGUUGGCUUAGAAGCAGCCACCCUUGAAAGAGUGCGUAAUAGCUCACUGGUCAAGUGAUUCCGCGCCGAUAAUGUAGCGGGGCUUAAGCACACCACCGAAGUUGUGGCAAAAACAUAUUCAACCGAUAACUCGGGUGUUUUUGGGUAGGGGAGCGUCGUGUGGCCGGUGAAGCUGCGAAGUGAUUCAGUGGUGGAGGCUAUACGAGUGAGAAUGCAGGCAUGAGUAGCGAAAGACGGGUGAGAAACCCGUCCGCCGAAUGACCAAGGGUUCCAGGGCUAGGUUAAUCCGCCCUGGGUUAGUCGGGACCUAAGGCGAGGCCGACAGGCGUAGUCGAUGGACAACGGGUUGAUAUUCCCGUACCAGUGAAGAACCGUCCAUACCGAAGAAUCUGAUACUAACCAGUGCCACACCCGCACUGCACUCCCUUUGGGAGUGUGUGUGGUGUGUGGUGGUGGGACCUGAGGGUUUUGUAGGUAAGCGUGUUAACAGGUGUGACGCAGGAAGGUAGCCGGGCCGUGCGAUGGUUGUCGCGGUCUAAGGUUGUAGGCCGUGUGGUUGGCAAAUCCGCCACACAUACAGGCUGAGAGCUGAUGGGCGCCCCACAAUUGGUGGGGUGAUCCGGUGAUCCUCUGCUGCCAAGAAAAGCAUCGACGUGAGGUUCAAACUGCCCGUACCCUAAACCGACUCAGGUGGUCAGGUAGAGAAUACCAAGGCGAUCGAGAUAAUCGUGGUUAAGGAACUCGGCAAAAUGCCCCCGUAACUUUGGAAGAAGGGGGACCACCCCGGUGAACAGCCCUUUGCGGUUGGAUGUGCUGGUGGUGGUCGCAGAGGCCAGAGAGAAGCGACUGUUUACUAAAAACACAGGUCCGUGCGAAGACGUAAGUCGAUGUAUACGGACUGACGCCUGCCCGGUGCUGGAAGGUUAAGAGGAUCUGUUAGAACCCUCGGGUUCGAAGCGGAGAAUUUAAGCCCCAGUAAACGGCGGUGGUAACUAUAACCAUCCUAAGGUAGCGAAAUUCCUUGUCGGGUAAGUUCCGACCUGCACGAAUGGCGUAACGACUUCUCUGCUGUCUCAACCGCGAACUCGGCGAAAUUGCAUUACGAGUAAAGAUGCUCGUUACGCGCAGCAGGACGGAAAGACCCCGAGACCUUCACUAUAGUUUGGUAUUGGUGUUCGGUGUGGCUUGUGUAGGAUAGGUGGGAGACUGUGAAGCAUGCACGCCAGUGUGUGUGGAGUCAUUGGUGAAAUACCACUCUGGCCAUAGUGGAUUCCUGAACUUCGGACCCUGAUCGGGUCCAGGGACAGUGCCUGAUGGGUAGUUUAACUGGGGCGGUUGCCUCCCAAAGAGUAACGGAGGCGCCCAAAGGUUCCCUCAGCCUGGUUGGCAAUCAGGUGGUGAGUGUAAGUGCACAAGGGAGCUUGACUGUGAGACGGACGUGUCGAGCAGGAGCGAAAGCUGGGACUAGUGACCCGGCCAUGGCUUGUGGAAGCGUGGUCGCUCAACGGAUAAAAGGUACCUCGGGGAUAACAGGCUGAUCUUGCCCAAGAGUCCAUAUCGACGGCAUGGUUUGGCACCUCGAUGUCGGCUCGUCGCAUCCUGGGGCUGGAGUCGGUCCCAAGGGUUGGGCUGUUCGCCCAUUAAAGCGGUACGCGAGCUGGGUUUAGAACGUCGUGAGACAGUUCGGUCCCUAUCCGCUGCGUGCGUAGGAAAUCUGAGAAGGGCUGUCCUUAGUACGAGAGGACCGGGACGGACGAACCUCUGGUGUGCCAGUUGUACCGCCAGGUGCAUGGCUGGUUAGCUACGUUCGGGAAGGAUAACCGCUGAAAGCAUCUAAGCGGGAAGCCUGCUUCAAGAUGAGAUUUCCCCUGAGGUGUCCAGUAGACGACUGGGUUGAUAGGCCAGAUGUGGAAGCACAGCAAUGUGCGCAGCUGACUGGUACUAAUACACCAAUCACUCACCC